CCAGUCUCAACUGGAUCAUCAUCCUGAUGUGAUGACAUUGCUGUUAAAUCGGUGUCAGCAUAACAGGAUCAGAACUGGCAAACCCCAGCCUGUUUGAAUUUGCCUUGCCCUUAAGCUAAGAUGAGAAAUAUAACAACAGAAAGGAAAGUGGCAGAGUGGACAGAAGAAACUGAGGUGGGGAGAGGGAUUAAAUUAGCAAAUGGGAGAAGAGCCAUCCAUGAGUGUAAAAGAGAGAGACAGAAAGACCUAGACCGAAGGAGGAAGACACCAGGUAUUAACUGCCUCAGACAAUGAAACAAUGUCUUAUAGAAGGCUCCUCGCAGCAGCUGGGGAUGUGUUUUAGUCUGAAAAGCUCCUGAGAAGACAUCCAAAGCAAAGGCAGAGGCCACACAUCUCUCCACCAAAGUUCACUGGGGAUUCCUCCUGAACACACACCAUCAGUGUCAAAGACACACAUACAAAACCUAAGACGUACAGACACACACAAACCUGGACGUGGAGAUAGACCGCAAUACACAUCAACCCACCAAGCCACCAGCGUGCCAAGACAUUGAUAAAUACAUGCCAAGCCGCUGCAGCCAACCAUGCCAAGCCACUGCAACCAGCCACGCUGAACCACUGAGCCACCGCAAUCAAACACCCAGAGAUGCAUUAAGACACUGCAGCAGACACACUGAGACACAGAACCAAUGCAACAAACUCAUUGGCUGCAACCAAACACUGCAACGGACAUACCAAGCCACUGCAAUCAAACACAUUGAGACACUGCAACCGAACACCCUGAGAGGUGGCGGCAGCCAUGCCGAGACACUGAGACGCGGCAACCAGACAUUCCAAGACACCCAGAUGCUGCUACAAACAGGUGGACGCUGCAACCCAAACCACCAAGAGACUGAGACACUUCAACAGCCACACGGAGACACUGCACCAAAACAUGCCUUACAAUCAGUACUAAUGCACUGAGCCAACAAAACAAGCACAUGGAAAGAAUAAAUACACAUUGAGACCUCAGUGCAAACACACCAAGACACUGAUACAAUCGUACUGAGAUGGGCACGCACACACACACUGACAGAGCAGUACGAACACCCAGCAUAUCCUGCAAAAAAAAAAACUACCAAA